rnacentral:rRNA from 1 species
AACCAGGGGAUUAAGUUGUAUUUUACGGUGAAAAGACAGUUAAACAACGUAGCCUGUUAAAUUCAUUGCUCUAUCGGGAGGUAGAAUUCGUAGAUAGGCAAAUAUACUUAAUAAAACUAACGUGUUGAAGCUGUGAUAACUUUGAGGGAAACUAGGAUUAGAUACCCUACUAUUCAUAGAAGUAAAUUAAAAAUUUUACCAGAGUACUAAGAAUAAAAAAUUUAAAACUCAAAGGGCUUGGCGGUGUUUUAGACUACUUAGGGGAACCUGUCUCGUAAUCGACAAUCCGCGUUAUACCCAACCUUUUUUUGCAUACAGUUUGUAUACCGUCGUCGCCAGGUAACUUUUAAGAUAUAAACAGUUAGCUAGUUAAAUACUUAAAUUAAGACGUCAGAUCAAGGUGCAGCUAACAAUGAGGUGUAGAUGGGUUACAAUUACUAUACUUGUAAUAACGGACAAUAAUUUUAAAAAUAAUUGGAAAGGAGGACUUAAAAGUAAAAUAGAUUAUAUAAAUAUCUUGAAUAGAGCUCUGAAACGUGC